CAGGAAAAGUAGAGGGAUUGAGCUCAACGCUUUAUUGUUGCCACAUUUUAGUGAGAUUAGAUUCAGAUGAAGAGAAGGCUAUUAACUGGAGAAACUCAUUCUGCUGCCAUUGAGAAGACGAAACACUUUCUCUGAGGAUGAAGAAUGCUAGUUUUUUCUCCUUGCUUCUGCUCUAAGGCCUGCGUGAGACAGAAUUAGCAAGGGGAGGG